UUUGUCUCUUAAUUGUGUCACACGGUCUGUGUUGUCACAGUCACCCAAAGGAGACUCAGAUUCCUGGGGUGAAAGAUGGCAUCGGUUUUCCCGGAACUUUGGGCGACCGGGGCGAGAUCGACUGAAGUAUCAUUGAUGGAAUCUUCUGAGAGCCACAGGGAGUCCCUGCCCAAUGAGUUCUGGACUGCAUGUGUAGAGCAUGGUAUAUGUUUAUUUAGUGUUGCAGGUUGCUUCUUAGGUGUAGUUAUUGUGUUUUCCAAGUAGAAUAGGAAAAGUCCAGCAGCCGUUUAUGUUGUCAUUUGUAUUGCGUUAUACUGCUCCAUAUCACAUAGCUGUAUAGUUGUAGUCGUAUCGGUCCAUAUCCAAACGUCACGGUGUCGUGUUCUGCGUGGCAGGAACCAUAUAUCUUUGCGCCUUUGCUUGUAGCACUUUUUAUGUCGUGUCACUUGUAUUGCCAUGUAAUGUUCUGUCUGGUAUACUUGUAUAUUUGCAGUUGUAUUGCUCUGUAUGUGAAUGUCAUAGCAUUGUAUUGCUGUGCGUCAGUUAGGAAUUGUAUAGCUUUGUACCUUACAUAGUUUUGCUUUCUGUGUUCUGUCUUUGGUACUGUCUUGUAAUGCUGUGAGGGGUGUGCUCGACCAUGAGGGGC